GCCAGCGGUGAUAGCACGUUGAAUACAGCAGUUCCCAAUGGUUCACUGAAGUUAAGCAACGUUGUGCGUUGUUAAUAUCCGGAUGGGUGACCAUCUUUUGGCAAUCGCGAGCUACUGGCU
rnacentral:rRNA from 1 species